GACUCUUGUUUUCUUCAGAUGUAUAAUUUUCGCCUUUUAUAAAUAUUUUCCGUGGAGAAGGAACAGCAGAGAUUUAGUCAAUUUUUUGAUGCUGCUUAACUGUGGGGCU
rnacentral:snRNA from 1 species